rnacentral:rRNA from 1 species
CAAGUCGAACGGAAGUUAGAGCUUCGGUUUUAACUUUAGUGGCGAACGGGUGAGUAACGCGUGAGGAACCUGCCUUUCAGUGGGGGACAACAGUUGGAAACGGCUGCUAAUACCGCAUGACACUUUUGGGGGACAUCCCUUAAAAGUCAAAGCUUUACGUGCUGAAAGAUGGCCUCGCGUCUGAUUAGCUAGUUGGUGAGGUAACGGCUCACCAAGGCGACGAUCAGUAGCCGGUCUGAGAGGAUGAACGGCCACAUUGGGACUGAGAUACGGCCCAGACUCCUACGGGAGGCAGCAGUGGGGAAUAUUGGGCAAUGGGGGAAACCCUGACCCAGCAACGCCGCGUGAAGGAAGAAGGCCUUCGGGUUGUAAACUUCUUUUACCAGGGACGAAGGACGUGACGGUACCUGGAGAAAAAGCAACGGCUAACUACGUGCCAGCAGCCGCGGUAAUACGUAGGUUGCAAGCGUUGUCCGGAUUUACUGGGUGUAAAGGGCGUGUAGGCGGAGAUGCAAGUUGGGAGUGAAAUCCAUGGGCUCAACCCAUGAACUGCUCUCAAAACUGUAUCCCUUGAGUAUCGGAGAGGCAAGCGGGAUUCCUAGUGUAGCGGUGAAAUGCGUAGAUAUUAGGAGGAACACCAGUGGCGAAGGCGGCUUGCUGGACGACAACUGACGCUGAGGCGCGAAAGCGUGGGGAGCAAACAGGAUUAGAUACCCUGGUAGUCCACGCUGUAA